CCUCAGACUCAGAGCUGCGCUCCUCGACCUCAACGCCAGGCGGUUACUUUGCUGCUCCUCCCGCUCGCUAUGUCAACGUCCACUAGCUGCCCGAUUCCCGGGGGCCGGGACCAGCUGCCCGACUGCUACAGCACCACGCCGGGGGGCACGCUAUACGCCACUACCCCCGGAGGUCAGCGGGCCGGGCAGGGGUCCGCAGGCUGCGGACAUAUUAGCGCGCACCAGGAUCAUCUACGACCGAAAGUUCCUGCUGGAGUGCAAGAACUCACCCAUUGCCCGGACACCCCCCUGCUGCCUCCCUCAGAUUCCCGGGGUCACAACUCCUCCAACAGCCCCUCUCUCCAAGCUGGAGGAGCUGAAGGAGCAGGAGACAGAGGAAGAGAUACCCGAUGACGCACAAUUUGAAAUGGACAUCUAAUCCAGUGCAGAUGACCUGGCAUGUGGAGUUACAGAGGGAUCCCUCAUGCCACUGCUGCCACCACCUCUUCCUGGGGCAUCCAAAGGCCAGCUGGCCUCAUCUAAUCUGGAAGGGAGUGACUUGUUAGUUCCAGGCCUCCUUUAGUUCUGAGGCAGCUAGACCAGGGAUAGGAGUGGGCAACUUGCCAAGCCCUUAACUCUACUUCCUCUUCAGUCUGUGGUACUCCUCCUAACCCUAAACCCUCUAUGCUCAGGGGCUGGAACUGGGGAAUGGAGUAAGUCACCUUCUGACUGCUUAGUAAACAUUC
rnacentral:lncRNA from 1 species